rnacentral:rRNA from 1 species
UACGGGGGGGGCAAGCGUUGUUCGGAAUUACUGGGCGUAAAGGGCUCGUAGGCGGCCAACUAAGUCAGACGUGAAAUCCCUAGGCUCAACCUAGGAACUGCGUCUGAUACUGGAUGGCUUGAAUCCGGGAGAGGGAUGCAGAAUUCCAGGUGUAGCGGUGAAAUGCGUAGAUAUCCGGAGGAACACCGGUGGCGAAGGCGGCUUCCUGGACCGACACUGACGCUGAGGCGCGAAAGCUAGGGGAGCAAACGGG